UGUUUCAUCAAAAUCUCUAAAAUAGUAACUUUGCACUUAAACCGCCUUGGCAGCCCUCAUCCUUUUUCGUGGGUGCCUUAGUAAAUUUGUUGGUCUUAUCAACAAAACCGAUCGAAGAGAAACCAUUUUCUCUUAUUCUUCUUCUUCCUUCUUCUCUUUCCCCUGUUCUUCUCAGUUCGUGUUUUUGUGGGAAGAUUAUUUGAUUUUGAGAUCAGAAACUUAGGGGAAUCAAUAAGAAUUGAUUGUGGUGGUUCUGUUGAUGUUUAUUAAUUUCUGGAAAAGAAGGAGAUGAUGCUGUCAUAAUCAGAAAUAGGGUUUAUAGGGUUGAUUGAUGUUAUGAAGAAUUCGAAGUUGAAAUUGAGAGUUUAAGGAGAUGAUUAUAUAUGGUUUUGACGUGAAUUAGAGUUUUGAUGAAUCCGAGUCGUGCUAGCAGUGAAGAUUGGUUGGAUUUAAGAGUUACGGUUUCUGUGAAUAGAAAUUAGGAACUAGGGAUUCGUUUUAGUGAUGAUUAAGAUGAAAUUCAAGGAUGGGUUUUGAAGAACGUGAUGUGAAGAAAGAGGUUGUGAAUUGAAUUUGAAGAUUUAGUUUCAAACAAGAACUUUAAUUGAGAAUUGGAGAAUUAAGAAUAUGGUUGCUGUUAAUUUGGGUCUCUGGAAGAAGAAUUACGUUAAUGAACAUCAGUUGAGAACAAGGAUAUAUGAAGAAGUGUAUGAUGUCGAUGAAGUGGUGAAAUUGAGAAAUGGAGUUUCUGUUGGUGGUAUUGCUUUGUUGGUUGUAAUGAACAUAAGUUGCAUAUGCUAAUGGAGUUUUUGUUAGUGAAUGUCACAAAGAAUGCAGGGAGUUGUGUAGUAGUGUGAUUGUUGUAGAUGAAGAACAAAAGAAGAUGUGGUUGUCGUUGUUGUGUAGAAUAGUUGGUGGAGAUAUUGAGGUGUGGUUUGUGAAUGAAUUACAUGUGAUAUGAUGAUGUAUGGAUUCUGAAGAUUUCAGUUAAGAUGUGUAAUGCUGUUUAUGUUGGUGUUUGAAUGGAUAUGUAACUGAGGUCACUAUGUCUUGCUGAGGAGUGGGUGGAUACUAAAGUUUAAUGUGCAGAUGGUAAGCCAAUAUGGAGAAAUAGUCUUGCAGUCGAGGGAAGAUUAGUUGCUUGAGUUUGCUGGUGUUGUGAAAUGAAGUUGGAGUUACAACUGUAACUGAUGAAUAUCUGAUGAAGCUGAAGUGACUGUGUUGUUGGGUUGAAGACGUAGUGUUAUUCUGAGUUAAAGGGGUUAGUGUGUGUUUCAGUUUAGAAGUUGUUUUCUGCUUGAGUUGUACCGUUAGAGUUAAUAGUAGUGGUAAUGAUUGUAUGAA